rnacentral:lncRNA from 1 species
GCUAAGGGUCAGCAGCAACACACUGCACUCCUGACUCCUGCUCUGAUACUUGCCUCACUGGAACCGUCAUCCCCUCUCAUGUGGCAAAUGCAGCUGGGUAUGUGGUCAGUGCAACCUGUACUUCUACAGCCACCAGCCUGCAGGCUGGACCCCAUUAGAGUGAGGAACGGAACCCCUGCUAGCCAGCCUCAGGUGACAAAACUGAGGCUCAGAGGCCAAUGGCCUUGUUCAAGGUCACACGCCCACUAAAUGAGAGACCCGGAGACCUGGCAUCACACGCUAACUAAGAAUACUGGAAGGAGAUAAGAUUGGGACUGAAAGACCUGGAUUGAAUGAUUUUUAUCAAGUCACUUCCCUUCCUUGGAUCUCCAUUUACUCAUCAAUAAACUAAGCAGAUUGGAUUAAAUGUUCUGUAAGGUGCCUUCUAGGUGAGGAAGAAGUUGGGAUAAGUCAUAAGGAAGCACCCCAAUGAACAUCUCCUGCCUCUAUGGUUUUUCUGACAUCCAUCAACAUCUGUCAGAAUUUGAAAAUGUGACUGCUUUUAGGCACUGUGCUUAGUGCUGGAGAUUCCGUGUUGAAGCUCACAGUCUGGGGCAGAGAUGGAAACAGACACAAAUAACUAUAAUACAAUGUGGU